rnacentral:rRNA from 1 species
GACGAACGCUGGCGGCGUGCUUAACACAUGCAAGUCGAACGGAAAGGCCCUGCUUUUGUGGGGUGCUCGAGUGGCGAACGGGUGAGUAACACGUGAGUAACCUGCCCUUGACUUUGGGAUAACUUCAGGAAACUGGGGCUAAUACCGGAUAGUAGCUCCUGCUGCAUGGUGGGGGUUGGAAAGUUUCGGCGGUUGGGGAUGGACUCGCGGCUUAUCAGCUUGUUGGUGGGGUAGUGGCUUACCAAGGCUUUGACGGGUAGCCGGCCUGAGAGGGUGACCGGCCACAUUGGGACUGAGAUACGGCCCAGACUGCUACGGGAGGCAGCAGUGGGGAAUAUUGCAAAAUGGGCGGAAGCCUGAUGCAGCAACGCCGCGUGCGGGAUGACGGCCUUCGGGUUGUAAACCGCUUUCGCCUGUGACGAAGCGUGAGUGACGGUAAUGGGUAAAGAAGCACCGGCUAACUACGUG